CAUUACCAAGAACCAAAACACAUGAGCGAGGGAUCGCGCUCGCGCUGGGCUCGAUAGACGCGCUAGCACCCGUCAGGCCCGGAGGGCGAACCAGGCCCCUGGGGCCGGCAGGUUAAACCCAAGGUACCCAUCCAAGGUGGACAGUCCUCCCAGAAGUUCGCCCUUCGGCGUCUGCGAGCCAUCGGGGCAUGGAACCUUGGGGGCUGUCGGUUUCCCGCUGGGCAUACGUCCGAUGCCGCCUCGGGAGGCGAAACGUGGCUCGCGCAGCGUCGCAGCGUUGGUCCCCCACUCACUCACCAAAACCCUCUGCGUACCUUGCCCACUUGCUUCCCCCGGCCCCCCCGGCCGGGGGGCGACACCAAAAACCAAACUCUUUGCGAUGAACCGACGUCUGAAUGCCAAAAGCAAAAACAAAAACAGUUAAAACUUUCAACAACGGAUCUCUUGGCUCCCACAUCGAUGAAGAACGCAGCGAAAUGCGAUAAGUAAUGUGAAUUGCAGAAUUCAGUGAAUCAUCGAAUCUUUGAACGCACAUUGCGCCCCCUGGUAUUCCGGGGGGCAUGCCUGUCCGAGCGUCAUAAAACCCCCUCCCCCUCGGAUUAAAUGUUCCUUGGGGGGUAUUGGCCAAUGGGAUUGCGAGAUAGCAAUUGUUACCCAGGCGCCCAAAUGCAUCAGUACCCCGCCAUUUACAGAUUUACCAGCACCGAGGCCGUCAACCGUGGAGUUAUGGGAAUUAUAGGCUUGCAGUAAUAUGCUCACCUCUCUCCAUACGCAGGCGGCACACCGGGUAGAGUCGCGGGCGUAAAGCGGAAUCCGAAACGGCCCUCACGGGUAGAGGAGGAUCCUUGCGGGCUAGUCACCCCUCAUCACAAUUGACCUCGGAUCAGGUAG
rnacentral:rRNA from 1 species